rnacentral:rRNA from 1 species
AUUGAACGCUGGCGGCAGGCCUAACACAUGCAAGUCGAGCGAACGGCGGACGGGUGAGUAAUGUCUGGGAAACUGCCUGAUGGAGGGGGAUAACUACUGGAAACGGUAGCUAAUACCGCAUACCCUCAGAUGUGCCCCGAUGGGAUUAGCUAGGAGGUGGGGUAAUGGCUCACCUAGGCGACGAUCCCUAGCUGGUCUGAGAGGAUGACCAGCCACACUGGAACUGAUGCACGGUCCAGACUCCUACGGUAGGCAGCAGUGGGGAAUAUUGCACAGUGGGCGCAAGCCUGAUGCAGCCAUGCCGCUUGUAUGAAGAAGGCCUUCGGGUUGUAAAGUACUUUCAGUCGGAAGGCGUUACCGACAGAAUAAGCACCGGCUAACUCCGUGCCAGCAGCCGCGGUAAUUC